GACGAACGCUGGCGGCGUGCUUAACACAUGCAAGUCGAACGGAAAGGCCCUGCUGUUGUGGGGUGCUCGAGUGGCGAACGGGCGAGUAACACGUGAGUAACCUGCCCUUGACUUUGGGAUAACUACAGGAAACUGGGGCUAAUACAGGAUAGGAGCUACUGCUGCAUGGUGGGGGUUGGAAAGUUUCGGCGGUUGGGGAUGGACUCGCGGCUUAUCAGCUUGUUGGUGGGGUAGUGGCUUACCAAGGCUUUGACGGGUCGCCGGCCUGAGAGGGUGACCGGCCACCUUGGUCCUGAGGUACGGCCCAGUCUCCUACGGUCGGCAGCAGUGGGGAAUCUUGCACAAUGGGCGCAAGCCUGAUGCAGCAACGCCGCGUGCGGGAUGCCGGCCUUCUGGUUGUAAACCGCUUUCGCCUGUGACGACGCGUGAGUGACGGUAAUGGGUCAAGAAGCACCGGCUAACUACGUG
rnacentral:rRNA from 1 species